GGGCCCGCACAAGCGGUGGAGUAUGUGGUUUAAUUCGAUGCAACGCGAAGAACCUUACCAGGGUUUGACAUCCUGCGAAUCUCUUGGAAACGAGAGAGUGCCUUCGGGAACGCAGUGACAGGUGGUGCAUGGCUGUCGUCAGUUCGUGUCGUGAGAUGUUGGGUUAAGUCCCGCAACGAGCGCAACCCACGUCGUUAGUUGCCAGCAUUUAGUUGGGCACUCUAGCGAGACCGCCGGUGAUAAACCGGAGGAAGGUGUGGAUGACGUCAAGUCAUCAUGCCCCUUACAUCCUGGGCUACACACGUACUACAAUGCUACGGACAAAGGGCAGCAAACUCGCGAGGACAAGCAAAUCUCAUAAACCGUGGCUCAGUUCAGAUCGUAGGCUGCAACUCGCCUACGUGAAGGCGGAAUCGCUAG
rnacentral:rRNA from 1 species